UACGGAGGGUGCAAGCGUUAUCCGGAUUCACUGGGUUUAAAGGGUGCGUAGGCGGGCAGGUAAGUCAGUGGUGAAAUCCCCGAGCUUAACUUGGGAACUGCCGUUGAUACUAUCUGUCUUGAAUACUAUGUAGGUAAGCGGAAUAUGUCAUGUAGCGGUGAAAUGCUUAGAUAUGACAUAGAACACCAAUUGCGAAGGCAGCUUGCUACACAGUUAUUGACGCUGAGGCACGAAAGCGUGGGGAUCAAACAGG
rnacentral:rRNA from 1 species